AGGGAAAGAGGGAGGAAGGAAGGAAAUAGGAAAGUUGAACGGGAGAAAGGGUGCUUGAAUUUGGUGGUGAGUGGCGAAAGGGUGAGUAAUACAUCGGAAGAGGUAGUGUAGUGGGGGAUAGCCCGGCGAAAGAUGGAUUAAUACCGCAUACGAUCUACGGAUGAAAGCGGGGGACCUUCGGGCCUCGCGCUAUAGGGUUGGCCGAUGGCUGAUUAGCUAGUUGGUGGGGUAAAGGCCUACCAAGGCGACGAUCAGUAGCUGGUCUGAGAGGACGACCAGCCACAGUGGGACUGAGACACGGCCCAGACUCCUACGGGAGGCAGCAGUGGGGAAUUUUGGACAAUGAGCGAAAGCCUGAUCCAGCAAUGCCGCGUGUGUGAAGAAGGCCUUCGGGUUUUAACUCCCUUUUUUCCCGAAAGAAAUCCUUGGCCCUAAUACCGUCGGGGGAUGACGGUACCGGAAGAAUAAGCACCAACUCACUACGUC
rnacentral:rRNA from 1 species